ensembl:ncRNA K02E10.11 ncRNA
GUCCCGCGUCGCACUAUACAAGAGACGUAGCUCUUGGCGCAAGGCAGGCAGAGGUCGCCGCAAGGCGUGCAGGCGUUUUGGUGCCUGCAUGGAAGCGGUAGUAAAGUAUCUACCUGUAGUUCCUGGCCCAAAAAUGUUAAC